rnacentral:rRNA from 1 species
CACCGGCGGCUCGAGUGGUGGCCACUUUUAUUGGGUAUAAAGCGUCCGUAGCCGGCUUGGCAAGUCCCCUGGGAAAUCUGGCGGCUUAACCGUCAGGCGUCCAGAGGAUACUGCCAGGCUUGGGACCGGGAGAGGUGAGAGGUACCUCAGGGGUAGGGGUGAAAUCUUGUGAUCCCUGAGGGACCACCAGUGGCGAAGGCGUCUCACUAGAACGGGUCCGACGGUCAGGGACGAAAGCUGGGGGCACGAACCGG